GAUGUAAAUUUAGUUCAACUGCCAGGGCACUACGAACACAUGUUUAAAACCCAAAGGAAUUGGCGGUACUAUAUCCAACUAGGGGAACCUGUUCCUUAAUUCGAUAACCCACGAAAAUCUUACUCGCUCUAGCUAAUCAGCUUAUAUACCGUCGUUUAGCUAACCUUUCUAGAGAAAAGAAGUUAGCAAAAAAGGUUUUUCCCUAAUAAAACAGAUAAAGGUGUAGCCAACGAGUGAGGGAGAAUUUGUUACAAUUAACAAUUUGUUAAUGGACCAAAAAUGAAAUUUUUUUUGGAGAAAGAGGACUUAGAAGUAAUUUUUUUAAAUAAAAUCAAAAUGAAUACGGCUCUAUAGUGUGU
rnacentral:rRNA from 1 species